AGUGACAGUGAUGAGCCUACAGACCUGUAAUGAUUUGUGGAAAUGAUCACAGAUCUAUUGAACAUCUAAGGGACUGAGUUUUA